rnacentral:rRNA from 1 species
AGAGUUUGAUUAUGGCUCAGGAUGAACGCUAGCUACAGGCUUAACACAUGCAAGUCGAGGGGCAGCAUGAAGUUUGCUUGCAAACUUUGAUGGCGACCGGCGCACGGGUGAGUAACGCGUAUCCAACCUGGCCCUUAGUAGGGGAUAGCCCGGCGAAAGUCGGAUUAGUACCCUAUGUUUUCCUAUGAGGACAUCUGAGCAGGAACAAAGAUUUAUCGCUAAGGGAUGGGGAUGCGUCUGAUUAGCUUGUCGGCGGGGUAACGGCCCACCGAGGCGACGAUCAGUAGGGGUUCUGAGAGGAAGGUCCCCCACAUUGGUACUGAGACACGGACCAAACUCCUACGGGAGGCAGCAGUGAGGAAUAUUGGUCAAUGGGCGAGAGCCUGAACCAGCCAAGUAGCGUGCAAGGAUGACUGCCCUAUGGGUUGUAAACUGCUUUUAUGCGGGAAUAAAGUUCACCACGUGUGGUGUUUUGUAUGUACCGCAUGAAUAAGGACCGGCUAAUUCCGUGCCAGCCGCUGC